GCCUACGGGGGGCAGCAGUGGGGAAUAUUGGGCAAUGGGCGCAAGCCUGACCCAGCAACGCCGCGUGAAGGAAGAAGGCUUUCGGGUUGUAAACUUCUUUUAUGAGGGACGAAAGAAAUGACGGUACCUCAUGAAUAAGCCACGGCUAACUACGUGCCAGCAGCCGCGGUAAUACGUAGGUGGCAAGCGUUAUCCGGAUUUACUGGGUGUAAAGGGCGUGUAGGCGGGAAAGCAAGUCAGAUGUGAAAACCACGGGCUCAACCUGUGGCCUGCAUUUGAAACUGUUUUUCUUGAGUACUGGAGAG
rnacentral:rRNA from 1 species